rnacentral:rRNA from 1 species
GAUGAACGCUGGCGGCGUGCUUAACACAUGCAAGUCGAACGAAGCACCUUUCAUUGAUCGGAGAGCUUGCUCAAAGAGAUUUGAUUGGUGACUUAGUGGCGGACGGGUGAGUAACGCGUGGGUAACCUGCCUCAUACAGGGGGAUAACAGUUGGAAACGACUGUUAAUACCGCAUAAGCGCACAGUACCGCAUGGUACAGUGUGAAAAACUCCGGUGGUAUGAGAUGGACCCGCGUCUGAUUAGCUAGUUGGUGGGGUAACGGCCUACCAAGGCGACGAUCAGUAGCCGACCUGAGAGGGUGAUCGGCCACAUUGGGACUGAGACACGGCCCAAACUCCUACGGGAGGCAGCAGUGGGGAAUAUUGGGCAAUGGGGGAAACCCUGACCCAGCAACGCCGCGUGGAGGAAGAAGGUUUUCGGAUCGUAAACUCCUGUCCUCAGGGAAGAGCAGAAGACGGUACCUGAGGAGGAAGCCCCGGCUAACUACGUG